rnacentral:rRNA from 2 species
CAGCCGCGGUAAUACGGAGGGUGCGAGCGUUAAUCGGAAUUACUGGGCGUAAAGGGUGCGUAGGUGGUUGAAUAAGUUAUCUGUGAAAUCCCUGGGCUCAACCUGGGAAGGUCAGAUAAGACUGUUUGACUCGAGUAUGGGAGAGGGUAGUGGAAUUUCCGGUGUAGCGGUGAAAUGCGUAGAGAUCGGAAGGAACACCAGUGGCGAAGGCGGCUACCUGGCCUAAUACUGACACUGAAGCACGAAAGCGUGGGGAGCAAACAGGAUUAGAUACCCUGGUAGUCCACGCCGUAAACGAUGUCAACUAGCUGUUGGA